UGUGGGAGCGGGCUUGCUCGCGAAGGAGCCGUGUCAGUCCCGAUGAUGUCGACUGACACACCGCCUUCGCGAGCAAGCCCGCUCCCACA
rnacentral:antisense_RNA from 1 species